ACCAAAAAAGGUUUACAGAUAAUCAAUUUUCCAGGAUUUGAGACAUGUUUAGCUAUUAAAAUGGUAAUCAACCAAAAUGGAAAACAACAGUUUCAUCUGUAUAUUUGUCUUCAUCACAAACAAGCAAUUCCCAACAGGCUAAAAUAGUUAUCUAUCAAAAAUAUAGAACUGCCAGUCAUUUUCUAUUAAAUUAGGUGGUCAAAAAGCACCCAACAAAAGCGAAUGAAGAAAGCCAAAUAAGAGGUACUGAAAAGCCCAGGCAGCAAUGAUUAGGGAAAAAAAUCAUUGCACAUACUUAUGGUAAUUAUGAAUAAUUGUUGGACAACAAACUCUAAGUUUGUCAGGAGAUAAUUUUUCUUUUUCUUUUUUUCAUUUUUUUCUUUUUUUUGAAAGGUAAAAACACAAUAGUAUAUAAAAAGAGAAAACGGCGCCCAAAGAACGACCCAAAGCAUACAGGAAGCAUACAGCAGGCAGCCUAAGCACAGCAACAAAAGAAAAAGAGGGGCAACAAAAAACCUCACCCGCCCUUAUCUAGAAACCAACCAAUCAAAAAAGUUGAUUAAAGGUAAAGGCCCAUAAUCUAAGUUUGUCAGGAGAAAAAAUGAAGACAAACCACAGUUGCCAGAAGGUACAAUCUGUCUGUUUGGAUACUAGCUUUUGAGCAGUAACAAGGGAUGUAAGGAGAAAAAAGAACGAAUAAGCUGAAAGCUAAAAAGAGAAGCAACUACUGAACCUAAGGAAGCAUGCUGAUCCAGUGUAACAAAUGGUUUAACUAAAGUUUUCAAGAACUAACAGGACUCUCAAUGGUUUAGAACAAAACCUUAGAAGCUCUCUUUUAUCUUCUUCUACACUCCACUAAGAAAAAAUAUUUUCUAUUUGAGGGGUAGGAGGUGAUUAAUCAUGAAUUUGAAAGUUAAAACUUUGUACAUCAUAGACACACAUAUGUCUACCAGCCAUACAAUUACAUAUACGCCUAAUACAAGUUACUAGUUCCUCAUUUGGCAUAUAGGCUAGAACUUAAGUUUUAGAAUAAUAGUGUCAUAGUGUACAAUUCAGAAAUAAAAAUUAUAGUUUAAUGAUUAGAAAGUUCACUUCUUUCUUCAAAUAAUUAAUCUGUACAUUAAAUAUCAUAUUUUAUUAAGUUCAUCUCUUCAGAACUCCUUGUUCAAUCUUUAUCUAUGUAUCAUCAGAGGAAUACUUAUAUUGGUCUGGUUUACCCUUAAUAUCUUUCAUGAACUGUGUUUCUAAUGCAUUUCAAGUAUAUACACAUUUUUUAUCUAUUACUCAAUGAGUAUAAUAUGAUACAGUAAAAGAGAAAAACAAUACCCCACACCACUAACUAGUUGAUAACUAUGCUGAUAAUUACAAAGUUGUACAUGUGCUAAGGAUUUCUCAAAAUUAUUUUUACCCACAAUAACACAAGUAAAAGAUAGAAUAUAAUAAUUAAAUUAUGGAUUUCUUGAAUUCUGUUCUAACUUUCACCACCAACAAGAAAUUAGUAUACUAUAAAUACUAGCAACAAAGAUACACAAGAUAAGAUGCCAAAUUGAAAAUACAAGCAAAUUAUAAAAAUAAAAAAUAAACACCAUAUCACAAAAGAAGUGCUGUCAUUUAUCAUCUUAUAUAGUCAUAUAUAAUUCUUCAGUGUCAUAAAAGACCUAAAAGAUCCAAUUCACAAUAAAUAAGUAAUGACAGCACACACCGCUAUCUCGAACAAAAUUCUGAAGUAGUCGACAUGUCUCCACGAGAGCUGAAAAAUCACCAACAUUUCGUGCAUCAAAGAAAAAGAGUAACUGGCGGAGGAACUCUGAGUCUGGACCAAAAGAAUGCCUAAUGUACAAAGACAUUUCAGAAAAGAAAAAGAAAAAAAUUAAUAGAUCAAAUGGAAGAACCUAUUCAAAUAGCAAUAAUGCAUGAUUUCAUAGGGACAGCAAUCCACAGCAAGUUAGUGAACUCUAUGAGGAGAAACAAUAUAUAUAUAUAUAUAUAUAUAUUAACUACGGAACCUUCCAUGGCCGAGCCUUUUAGACUCUCCAUGGGGACCCAAACCUCAGGGUAUUGUCGUGCCCAUCACAACCAGUACCAGAUAAUUCAAGGCAUUCAACCAACGGCAGGAAUCAAACCCAGGACCGUGCAUCUCUACCACACAUCCCGGCAUCUGCCCUAACCAACUGAGCACCCUGACGGGCAUGAGGAGAAACAGUAUAUAUAUGUGUGUGGUAGGAGGGGAAGAGAGGGGCAGGAUGAUGGCUACCAUUGUAUUAACCAGGACAAGGAUCCAAAAGUGCUACCUGUCUACAUUUUGACAGUGCCUUCCAUAAGUUGUAAAGAACUGUUCCCGCACCUUUGCGUGUUCAGCUUCCACAGCCUUUCUACCUCUGAAGCAUUUCUGUAACUAGUAAUUAGUCAAAUUCUACACUUUGUAAUUGAUGAAAGUUUUUAACAUUCUACUAAGGAGGAGAUUUUUACAGAUAAGUAACAGCUGCCACUUUUUUAAGUCAAAAUAAAAGGUUGAAAAGAAGAAAUAUGCAGAUUUCAAAAUACCAAUUAAGAAAAUACCUAUUUAAUGAGUCUAUAAUAGCCAUGAGCAUAUACUACAUAUAAGAUAAAUAACCACACUUCCAUCUACAUGUGGAGGAGUAUAUUAUUCAAAGAUGCUAGAAAGUUGUGGAAACAUAUAGUAAAAAUACUUUAUAAACUAUCACAUCCAAAUAUCUACGUAAAACAAACCAAUUCAUUUCUAUAAAAUAUAAAUAUCAAGAAGGACAAGACAGCCUCCCACAAUAUGAAAAUUGGAUCUGUUAGCCCAAGGGUUCUCCUAAUCAGGUUUUGAUGAUAACAAACCAUGGUUAAGUGACUAAUUGCUUUAAAUUGUUAAGAAUCUCAGGUAUAAUCUCAAGGACCAAACGAAUACGUGGUAAAGACCAUUUGGAAGACUUGUGAUCAUAGGAAAUGAAUGUAAGAUGAUAGCAUGAGUGCACUUAGGAUGUUCAUACAUUUUCAUGCAUCUUAGAAAACUCGGUUUAUUCUUUAAAACUUGAUUUUCUUUAAAACCCGAGUUUUAUCAAAUAUACCUUAGGCAAAUUGAUUCAAAAUUGACAUAUUAACUCUCCUAAAGACCUUGCCUAAGUAUUGGAAAAGAAAGAAAUCAAAAAGGAUAGGUUUUCAGGGCCAAAAGGCUCAUCCGAUCGAGGCUAUGGCCAACCGGCUCAACCGGUUGGGGAACCGGUCGACCGGUUUCCCUUGUCCGGUCGAGGUCCGGUCGAGGGAGACACAAAAACUUUCUCUCUCUCCCAGUAGCUUCCUCUUCCCGGUCGAGCCUCACCCUUUGUCCGGUCGAGGUCCGGUCGAUGUCCGGUCGAAGUCCGGUCGAGGCAACGGUAACCUGCUAUGCAUUAAAUGCUCCAACGGCUAGUGAUCCGGUCGACCCUUUGCUCGUCUGGUCGAGGCUACUUUCUGCUGUUUUUGUCUCCCGAGCUUAGAAACCUAUAUAUUGAGAGCUCUUCUUCAUUUAUGACUAAGAGAACAAUUGCAUUCAAAGCCUACCUACCUGUUCUUGAUCUAAAAAGCUCUCAUCUUCCUUCUUAGUGCAUUAAAACCAUCAAUUGCAUAUUCUUAGUGCACUCUUGCAAUUCAUCCUAGCCUUCUCUUGUACUUGAGCCUUCAUUAAGCUAGGUUGAGUGUUUCAUCCUUGUGUAAACUGAGUGUGAAAGCCUUCAAGUGGUUCAAAUCUUGAAGAGAUUGUGUAAGAGCCCAUUGGAGCCGAAAUCCAAGUGUAAGACGAUUGAAAGCUUGAUUGUAGCUUCAAGCUAGUGGAACCCUCACUCGGUUAGGAGAUUGAGGAGAGUGGACGUAGGCAAGGGAGUGCCGAACCACUAUAAAUUUGAGUUUGAAUUCUCUACCUUUAUCUCUUUCCUUUAUUUAUUUUGUGCAUAUAUUGUUGUGUGAAAAAAGAUUUUGAAAAACCCAAUUCACCCCCCCUUUUGGGUAUUUUCCUUAAUUAUUCAUAGCCUUUGUUUUAUCAGGAUCAAAACAAGAAGAAAAUCUUUAAAGGAGAAGCAUUACAAUCUGCACACCAAAAAAGAUUACAAAAAAAUAUUCACCAAAAAAAAAAAGAACACCAAAGACACUAAUUAAACCUUAGGAAGGCAAAAAACUUCCCAAUUAAAGACAUUAAAAGUUUUGCUCCUUUUUUGACUAAAAGAUCCUUCAUUUGAUUGGCUAAGCAAGAAGCUCAGCAAAAGGAAUCUCCCAACCCUAUAGGGAUAUCAAAAAUUUGGUGAAGUCAUUCAUCAAAGUUCCAUGAGCCCCUUUCCUUCUUAGUCAUCCAUGAAAUGACACUAGUGCAAUCUCCUGCCACUACAAGGUGGGAAAUGCCCAUAGCUGAGACCAAUCCAAGGCCCUCCAGAAGAACCAAAAUCUCUACCUUAAUCGGAAACCUUGACCUGCAGGGCUAAAAUAAUCAUUGUAUCCCGCUGAUCUUUAAGCACUACUUGAAUCCCCAGCUGCCCCAAGGCACCCAAAGAACAUCCAUCAAAGUGAAUCUUCAUGAGAUAGUGUCCAUAUAGGAAGAGUCUUCUCAUCAUCUUGGCAUUUUAGUUAUCUUUAUUAUGUAAAGAAUAUAUAAAUUUAUGAGAUUAUGAUUGAACCAUUGUCUACAAAUUCCACACAAAAAAAUUGAAAGUGUAUGUAGGAUCUUCAAAACUCUGACCCUCAUGUCAAAUAUCAAGUGGAAAAGCAAACAUAUCAUUCUUGGAAAUUGAGCUUUGUGAAGUACAUUGAGUGCAUGAAUUUGAGGAUGUCAAAUUUGGACCACCUAAACUCACUUGAGCCGCAAAUAAGGUUUUACAUUUUUUUGAUAGGUACGAAUAAGGUUUUACAUAUAUCAAACAUCCAGUGCCACACACAAAGAAAGAAAGGAGAGAUAGGUAAAUACUGUCACACCUUAUGAACAUGAAGACUCAAAUGAACCAUGCAUAUGUAAACCACAUUGUUCAAGUAUUAGAAGACACCAUUUGAAUUCUUCAUUUCAACAAUGUUAUACCUAAAAAGAACUAUGAUAGUAGUCAACUCCAUAGCCGUACAUUUUGAGAUUCAAUAUAACUCAUCUCAAAUAACUCCCUAAUCCCAGUUAAUUGGGGUUGGAUGCAUAAAUCCUUUUUUCAUAACUCAGCAAUAUCCAACGCUAGCAUUUCUAUUUUGUAUCCAUAUAGCAUUUAUGUUUUGUAUCAGAACAUGUUUAGACCAAAUUAUAUCUGUAUUAGAAUAUAUGUCUAAGCAUUUUCCAUUGAGAAUAUCUUGUAGAAUUCUUCCUAAUGGGUUGUAAAUGAAUACUAUCUCCUAAAUGUCUAAUUGUUGAGCAAGUAAACAAUUAACUAAUAUUUUUUAUUUUUUUUUUGAUAACCGUGGAUUUCCGGGCCAGCUUACGCGCACCUCGACUAAUCCCACGGGGCCCUGAAGUUAACGACCGGGUAAACCUCCAGUGGCCCUGAGGGGACUCGAACUGGUGACCAUUGGGGAGCAAACCCAAGACCUGACCAACUGAGCUACCCCUCAAGGUUAUAAACAAUUAACUAAUAUGACCUAAUGCAACAAAAAGGUAACUUCAUAAUGGCACCAAAGCUUAUAUAGCUUAUAAGGUAAUUUUAAAUGCAAAAGCAGCUUCAAAAUGUGUAAAGUUUCAGUUCACUUUCUAAGACAUGUCUGAUAUUAUUAACCAUGUAAUGCCAAAAUACUCCUUUUUUUUCCUAUAUGCAUGCACCUCUUGAUGUGUCAUGAUCAUCACCCCUUUUUCCCAAAACUUUAGUCAUCUUCUUAGGUAUCAUUUAUUAUAUUUUGUCUUCCUUGAAAAGAAAAGGAAAAUAGGUGAGAAAAAGAAGCUUAUAGGUGGCUAAAUUAAUUAAAAAGAAGAAGAAGAAAGAAAGAAAGAAAGAAAAACCCCAUCAAUCUAACCACUAUCAACCCCCCCACCCCCAAAACCACUCAAAUGCGCCAUGUAUGGGUGUGGAAAUUGCAUAUAUAUCAAACACCGUCUCUUAUUUGAAUUAAAAUUCAGUUAGUAUUAUUUUAUAUAUUCUAUGCUUUAAAAUUACAAUGGAAAAACCAUAGUUGUUAAAAAAACUUGCGAUACACAAUGCGAUACAUUUUUUAUGGAAAUUGAUACAUCGUACAAUUCUUAUCUUAUCUUAAAGCAUAUCUUAUGAUACAUAUAUGAUACAUGGUAUGAUAUAUAUACAACGAUACAUACACAUUCAACCAUUUUGAUAAUUUUUAAGAAAAAUAAAAUUCAAAAAAAAUGUUAAAAAGAAUUUGUUAUAUUUAUUGUUUAAAAUGUACAGAAACAUUAAAAAUUGAUUAUUGAAGGGAAAAUGAGGCAAAAUAAUCUUAUAUAUAAAAAAACUACAUUUUUGUUGUCAAAUACUAUGUUAGAAGUCAAGUAAAUUUAUUUUUACAAUGAAUAUUGGAGAAUUUUUAUUUAAAUGGUUUGGAUGUUUGGCAUUAAAAAUUAUGGUGAUUAGUGAAUAAAAACUUCUACUUAAUAUGUUAGUUAUUUUUUAUUUUUACACACACACACAUACAUAUAUAUUUAUACAUUUAUAUAUCAACAACACAUAAGUACAUAGGUCUAGUUAGAAUUUGGAACUAAAAAUUUAAGAAGUUUAAAAGGCUAUCAAAGCUUACACCUCAAUGCUCGCCUCAAGGCGAAGCUCUACAAAUUAGCCUUGAGGCUUAAGCCUCAUCCUAUCAAAGCUUAUAGCUUUGAGGUUAUAGCCUCAAGGCUGUUAAAGAAUAAGCCUCAAAUAUUCAAACAAUUUUCGGCCUUUAGGGGUUUUUCAUAUAUAUUUUAUAAGAGGCUUAAAUUUCAAAAUUUAAUGAGUUUUAACAUGUUCUACCAUCUAUAACUUUGGGGUCUUCCGACAUAAAUUUUAUGAAUUUAGUAUUAAGUCCCUAUUUGGUUAAACCUUUUAAAAUAAGGGCUUACUUGAUUUCCAAUUAACAUUUUAAAUGGAAGGGAAACAAAGAGAUUGAAAAUAAUAAGAAAAUUGUUGAUUGUCCUAGUGGUUCAUCUCAUAAAUAAUCUAAUUAUUGAUGGAUAAAAAAAGAUACCACUACAAUUGGUAGAUGAAGAAGAUUGGUUAGGCUCUGUUUGAGGGGGGCGCUGUUUUUUAUGGUACCCUGUCCUUUUUUUUAGGCAUUCUAAGGCAUCCUUUGUAUACUUCUUGUGUACUUUGGGAUACUUUUUUGGAGUGUCUUUUCUUCUCUUAAUAUAUUGCUAUUUACCCAUCAAAAAAAAAAAAAAAAAAAAUUGGUAGAUGGAGAAGAAAAAUGGGUGAAUAUUAACGCUAUUAGGGAGGAUAAUUUUUUAUUUUUUUUUUGAUAGACAACAAGAACAAGCAUUAAUAAGCACCCAAAAAGGAGGGGGGCACCCUACAUAUACAAGUUGUAUACACGAAAACAAGCCAAACACACCUCAAACAAAAAAAGACCACACAAACAAAACAAAGCAAAGUUAACCACAAAAAAGAGUAUCUAGGAAAAUCAACAUAGAGGGGAAAUCCAGCUCCAAAGAAUCCCUAGUCCACUCAAAAAGAGUCCGAAAGAAGAGAUCCUUUAAACCAUAGUCGGAGAGUUCUUUAUCUUUGAAGGUUCUUCGAUUAUGCUGGAUAAUAGAGCAAUUGGAUAUGAUUAUAUUCCUUAGGGGAUCCCAAUGAUAGUAUCAAUAAUGUUGAAAAUUAUUUGGUAAAACCAUGGGAGAAGGCUAAAUUUUAUGUUUAAAAAAAUGAGCUAAAUUAGAACUAUUAACAAUGAAAAAUAAUUAAUUUUAUAAUUUUUUUAUGAGAAACAACAAUAUAAUAUAUUAUUAUUUCAUAAUUAUAAAGUUUAUGCCAUUUUUAUUCUUCAAUUUGAUUGUGACUUCAUGAGUAUUUCUUUUUUUUUUAUAAUUUUUUAUUAUUUAUUUGUUUUAGUUGAGGCUUACGCCUCGCCUCAUUUAGACAAAAUGCCUUAAUACCAUCUUUAACCUUUUAACACAUUGGGGUAGAUCCUUCUCCAAAGACAUUCAUUAGGAAAUCUCUGAUUCCUUCCAAAGUAGCUGCUGGACUGGCAAUUUUGAAUAAGAUAUUUGAGUAUCCUGACCAUAAAACAUAUCUCUCUAAAGGACUUGUAGCAGGAAGGGGGCCCACUAUUGCCACAAUUCAGCUAAAUUUCACUCGCAAAAUUAAGUUCCCUUUCAUCAAACACUGCUGUGACAUUUAAAGUCAUCCGCAAGCAACCAAAAACAGGAUAUGGAUUAUUGUAUGCGCCCCACUUAACCAGCCAUGCCCACCCUCCCAAAUUAAUCUGCAUUGCACCUAAUGGAAUUAUAAAUAUGCAUCAUGUCUAAACAUUUUCCAUUUAGAAUAUCUUCUAGAGUUCUACCUAAUAGGAUGUAAAUCAGCACUCUAUCUCUGCCUAAAAUAGGUGAGCAAAUAAACAAUUAAUCAAUAUAGUUUAAUGGAACAAAAUGGUAAUUUCAUAACGGUGCAAAGGCUUAUGUAGCUUAUAAGGUAGUUUUAAAAGCAAAACUAGCUACAAUAUGGAUAAACUUCGGUUCACUUUCUAAAGCACGUCUCAUAUGAUUAACCAUGUAAUGCCAAAAUAAUACUUAUUUCCUAUUUGCAUGCCCCUCUUGGCAUAUCAUGAUUAACCAUUUUUGUAUUCCUUGAAGGACAAAGGAAAAUAGGUGAGAACUAGAAGUCCAUAGGUAGCCAAAUUCAUCCAAAGAAAAAUACAAAGGGCAAAAUGAGGAAAGAAAGAAAGAAAAACCCCAUAACCCCAACCCACCCACCCACACAAUGUGGAAACUAUGAUUCAAGCAUUCAGUUUAAACCAUAAAGGACAAGAGAAAAACAGCUUUCAAAUCCAGAUAUGUGAAAAAGAUUUCGACCUUUCAACCGAGUAAUCAAUAUGCAUCAAUAUGCAAUUGUCAUUAAUGGAACCUAAAGUUCACACCCUACACAUAAAUGCAAUUUACCAAUAACUAUUCCUCAGGCACACCAAAAAGAUUUUAUCUUAAUGUCAACAGAUAUCAUUUCAUCACAAACCUUGGGUGAAACCACUUGAAUGCGACCUCUGGUACAUAAAGAAUGAGAGUGCCACAGUUGAAAUUAGUCACAGAUUUUUUUAGAAGUCAUUAUACAGAGAAGGAUCCAUCAAUGGAAUUCAGGGAGGAGUGCAUUGGUAAACAUAAAUGGAAAUCAUCCUCCACUUUUACUUUAUUGAGGCACAAACAACAAAUGAAGACAUUUUCAGUCGUGAUCACUUCAAUGUAACUAUUCCUAGACUUAAUUUUAGGUCAUUCCAUUGGUAAUGAGUGGCUGAAAGUUUAAUUUUUGUUUUAUAUCCUUGCUAUGUUUUUUACCAUGUUUAGUGAUCGUGUCAAAAAUUUAAAGUAAAUAAAUAAGAACCCAAAACCUCCCCUAUCUUUUGUAGUUUUGUUGCUUCUUUUAAAUAUCAAUCAUUCAGGUGUAUCAUGUGGCACUCUGCUGGUUUUGAUUGUAAACCACUAGCACUGGAAGCAUCUAAGUUCACUCAUUUGGUGCAUUCAUGAAGAAGUACAUCCCAUAUCAAUAUCACCAUUGAAAAGUGAUUCUAAAAAUCUUCCUCUUUUGCAAGGGGAAUUGGGUACCAUAAUGAGGUCAAACCAUAGUUUUAAAAUGCGCAAGGCGUACCUAAGGCGCAAAAGUCUCCUAUAGCUUAAGCGCAAGGCGCACACUUGAGUGAAGUGAAAUACAACCUAGGGUGCACAUCAAUUUUGUAAAAUAUGAUUCAAAAUCUAAUCCGAUCAACACCCACCAAGGUAGCCCAGUUCGUCAAGGCGAAUACUGGGGAGUGUGGUCCCAGUAAGUGGCACAUGGUCCUAGGUUCGAAUCCAACCACUAAUAAUACCUUGAAUUUACCCGGUGCUAGGUAUUGUAGGGUGGUCAGCACCUCGAGGUUUGGGUCCCUAUGGAGAAUCCUAAG
rnacentral:lncRNA from 1 species